rnacentral:rRNA from 1 species
UACGAAGGGGUCUAGCGUUGCUCGGAAUCACUGGGCGUAAAGCGCACGUAGGCGGAUUGUUAAGUCAGGGGUGAAAUCCUGGAGCUCAACUCCAGAACUGCCUUUGAUACUGGCGAUCUCGAGUCCGGGAGAGGUGAGUGGAACUGCGAGUGUAGAGGUGAAAUUCGUAGAUAUUCGCAAGAACACCAGUGGCGAAGGCGGCUCACUGGCCCGGUACUGACGCUGAGGUGCGAAAGCGUGGGGAGCAAACAGG